rnacentral:misc_RNA from 1 species
GGAAGGAUCAUUCAAAUAAAAACACCUAAUCUAAUUGUGAAACCUACUAUAAUUAAUUUGAUCAACCUUAAAACUUCCAACAACGGAUGUCUUGGGUCUCAUAACGAUGAAGGGCGCAGCAAAUUGCGAUACGCAGUGUGACAUGCAACCUUUCAGAAUCACUAGAUUCCUGAACGCAAAUGGCACUGUCUCUGAAUGACAGUACGUAUGGUUCGGUGUUGCAGUACAAACCUUGACUUCGGUCGAGAAGGCAAUACCAACGGUGGUAUAGAUUGACUUAUUUUCCAGUCUUCUGACGGUAAUCCGAAAGUAUGGCUUGGCUAAUUUGUCUUAACACUAU